rnacentral:rRNA from 1 species
CGUAGGUAACCUGCCUCUUAGCGGGGGAUAACUAUUGGAAACGAUAGCUAAUACCGCAUAAAAGUCGAUAUCGCAUGAUAUUGAUUUGAAAGGUGCAAUUGCAUCACUAAGAGAUGGACCUGCGUUGUAUUAGCUAGUUGGUGAGGUAACGGUUCACCAAGGCGACGAUACAUAGCCGACCUGAGAGGGUGAUCGGCCACACUGGGACUGAGACACGGCCCAG